rnacentral:tRNA from 1 species
GAUGGACUUAAGCUAUUGACAUUAUUGAUCUGAAAAAGGUUUCCUAAACCGUAGGUCGCAUGUUCGAGUCAUGCCGGGAUCGCCA